rnacentral:rRNA from 1 species
AUGACACCCAGCGCACCGGGUUUGUUACCACCGCCGAGGACGGAUGAUGAUCCCAGGACCGUAGCACGAUUCGAUGACAGGAUCAAAUACACGAGUGGUGGGAUAAAGGGGAUAAGCUGUGGUGAGGAUACAACACAGCUAAACCUACCAAACCCGAGCCAAGGGCGGCAAUGCCAAGUCAACGAGAACUCCAACAUCGUCCGAGCCAAAACCGGGGACACCGCGAGCGAUCAAGAUAGUGCCUUCAAGAAGGAAUACGACGCCGAGACACCAUCACUAUCCAGUCCGAGGAACCCAGACAUAGGGUUUCCCCUGAGCUCGAAGAGGGGUGUAGCUGAAGGCCCUGGCAACGCCUCCAAGAAGGAAAACGACACCCGCGACCGCCAUCGCUACCAGCACCGGCAAGCCGAGCGAUCUCUCCCGGGCCUGAAGCUGAGCGAUCCCGUAGUCGCCGAGUCCGGAAUCGAAGAUGGGGAGGCCAGCGCUGGUCUGAACCACCAUGUCAGGAAGGGGUCGGCGGGGCUGCACCUGUCGUCGGAGGGUGGCAUCGCCUCCAUACCCGCGAGCAUAGGAUCUGGCAAAAGGGUGGACUUUGAGGCGUACAAGGUAGGGCAGGCGGCAAGGCGAACCAAGCGGGGAUCUUGGGGCGACGGUGUCCAGCAACGCCGGCAAGCGAGGACUGGAGGGACGCAUAUCCGAGCAGCUGUGGCCUUAGCCGAUGGGGCAUCGGCGAGCAAGUUGGGGACGUCGGCAGCGGGGGGCACCGGAGAGACACGGGCCCGAGGCCGCCGGGACCGAAACAGCACCGGCCCGAGACCACCGUGGGAAGCCCUGUGCCAGCCACAACGACAUAAGUAUCGCCAUCUCGACGCAAGAGCCAUCACCAUGGCUCGGGGGAGGGGGGUGGAGGGCCGCCAGAGACCGUGGCAGCGGCCAAGAUCGCCGGAUCCGCUGCCGCCCGGCAGGCUCGACCAGCAGCUGGUGGGAGAGCGCCCGAGGAUCGCCGGGGAGGGUCCUGGGGUUGCGAGCCAAGGGGCGGAGGCGCGUGAGGGGGACACCCGCGGCGGCAGAGGAUGGUGGGGAAGGAGCGGCUCGCCGGAGGCGGGGGCCAGGCCGACGGGGGGACCGGAUCCGCCGCCUUUGAGGAACCAUGGUCACCCCCUGCCAAACGUUGGUCUGGGAACACCGACGACCUCCCACAUGGCGACCCCCCACCAGACACAAGUUAACCGCAUUGCGGGAUCAAGGAGGAGGAAGGAAGGGUGCGGGGCUAAGAUCUAUACCUUCCGGGGGGGCAUUUGUCGCCAGACACCCAAGCUCCCUCCCGGGGCGCCGCUCCCGAGCUCCCAUCGUCGCUCUCUGGUCGUCCCCUCUCCUCUCUCUCCCUCCACCCAGAAUGGAUGCACAGUCUCGAUGAAACGGGAAGCGCAGCGCAUCGCCCCUCCACCGCUCAGACCCCUUCUGCUCCUCCUCCGGCGGCGACAGCGGCGGGCGGCGGGCGGCGGAGAUGAGCACGUGGAGCUAAGUCGCGACGGCGCACAAGCCCACCAGCGCUCACCAGCUCGACCUCGCCGUGGCGUACGCACCCGCACAACCCCUCUCCGCUCCCUCCCUCGAAUCCCCAGCCUAGUAGGGUUCAGCUCCCGCCCGGCUCCGCGUAUUAAUUCCUGCUACUCAGCUCGUCCUCGACCCUUUCCGAUUCCACCUUCCAGUCUGGUUCGGAGCUACCUAUAUAUCAUACACACAAUUGAGCUCAAGUAUCCCCUGCGAAAAUCGAUGGAGAAAGCUUCUGUUUCGGAUGAUUCUCCAGAUUCGAGCGCCAAUUGCGAUUGGUCCCAGCUUCAGGCUGACCUGCUCCUCCAGAUCUUUGGCACUCUCGAGAUCCCUGAUCUCUUCAGCUUAGGUGCGGUCUGUCGAUCAUGGCACCUCAUUUAUCUGGAGGCCCGCCGUCUUCCGCGGUGCUCGCCGAACCAGAGCCCCUGCCUUGUUUACUCAUCUGGCGACCGUGAUGCUGACACGGUCACCCUGCAUAACAUGUCCACCAACAAGCUUUACCACGUCACUCUAUCGGAGCCUGCCUUCCGCACACGCCACGUUAUGGGCUCCUCCCACGGCUGGCUCAUCACCGCGGAUAAGCGAUCAAAUCUCAUACUAGUCAACCCUGCAACCGGGGCUCAGAUGGCUAUGCCUCCACCUGAAACCAUGAACAAUGUUAGACUGCGCUACACUGAAGAGGGCGUGCUAGAUGGAUAUGAUGUUCUUUACAUAUCUGUUCUCUUCGGAUUUUGA